UGCCCAUUGUAGAUCUAACUGCUAAUUAUGAGGCAAUGGACAGUUGCUUUCAGGCAACCCUGCCGGACGGGACAGGCAGCAGACAGCCUGAGAAGGUGGAGGAACGAGCUGCAAGAUCACCUGCUGUCAUUGAUGUGCACUGAAGAAAAAAACCACCAUCAGACAGUGUCAGUUCUUCCUAUAAUCCUGAGAAUUCAUUUCCCAGCAUGAGGCUACUGUUCCUUCUCUUUUUACUCCUUGUGUGUCUCAUCCAGACGGCAUCAGGUCAUGAAAAAACGGGGAGAAAACACGAAUGUCAAAAUAUGGGUGGUGCCUGCAAGCACCAAAAAACCCAUGGAUGCGCCAUCCUUCCUGCAGACUGCAAAAGUCGGAACAAACACUGCUGUAGAGUCUAGCUCAGUCCCCUGAGGAUCCCCAUAGCAUCACGAGAGUCUCACCACCACUGACUUCUGUUGAAUAAAAGCACCACCACUCACAUGGA